AGAAGGGUCGGAGGAGUCUGCGGGCGGCUGGCGCUGCCUACCUUGAACUCUGCGGAAAGUUGGGGCGUGUAUUCGCGCGUCCAGAGCGCGCGCACCAGCGCCGCCAGCUGCUCGGUGACCUCGGCGCGGCCCGGCGCCGCCCGGUAGCGCCCCAGCGCUAGGAACUCGGCCAGCAGGUCGGUGUUGCUGAGACACUGCACCACCGCGUUCAUGAAACAGGUGUUGCCAUGGUUCUUCAAGCCCUGAGCGCCGGGCGGACGCGCCCCGUCACCCGAAGAUAUCUGGGGUUGGGAUCCCGGAGGACGAUCUGGCCCUGGACUCCCGGCAGAGGCUGGUGCCGGGCCCGGGGCGCAGGCAAAGCCCCCUUCUCCAUCGCCAUCGUAGGGACUGGGCUGGGCCGGGGGCCGGGGCGGCGAGUCCCCCGAGCGGGAGCGGCUGCCCAGAGCUAGCAGGAAGCGGUUAAGCAGGCGGCGAAGGGAACGGCGGCGGCGGGGCCGGGGCGCGGGCGGCCCCUCUCCCAGUGCGUUCCCCACGCCCGGAUCCAUGCUGGCCACGCACGGUGGUCCGGGAGCGCAGCCCCCGAGACCCCAGGCGGGCCGGCAGCUUCCCGGUCCUCACCGCCUCCCGGAGGCGCCGGGCGCCGGCUACCUGAGAGCCAGGUGUGCGGACACCGGGCGAGGGCGGAGCCAGGGGCGGGGCCGCCACGCCACGCCCCACGCGGGAAUCCGGCCCUAGGGCAGCGCCCGCCGCCGGGCUCCCGCCCCCGCGGCUGGAGCUGGGAAUGCACUCCCUCUGAGCCCGCCUAGUGGACUUCCCCGCCCUUCCUUCCCGCCUUGGAACAGGCCUUUCACCUCGGCUCGCCUUCCCCGCCCAUCCCUAAACAGCGUAGCUAACCCGGGGAUGGAACCUUCUGAAGCGCCCAGCGAAGCAAAGCCCUGGCUCUGGCUAAGUUUCUGGUCGUGGAAGCCAGAUGAAGACUAAGAAAAUUGACCGGCGAGCGGUGCCCCUGUUCGUGCCCAGGUGUCCCGAGAGGCGCGCGCUGGCAGCUGUGCAGGCCCAGUAUCUGCCAGCAGUUUGGUCUUGGGGUUCAUUUUGAGAAUAUCCCCGGUUGUGGUGCCAAGGUAGAAGAAGCUGUCGUCGUCGGCCAUCUAGGAGAUCAGAAACAGAAACCUGAAGACUCGAGUCUCCCCAGGAGUCUAGGAAGCCCCAGUCAGAAAGGAGAUGGAAUUCCAUAACCUCUGACAAAGAAGCUCAUGGUAACAUCGGUCUCCCAAGACGUAAGGACAGGUCAGCACAGCUCUGAGUGCAGCAGAGUCAGGGCCACCCGCAGCUGGAGGGUGAAUUUUACUUGACAUUCAUUCGGGUCUGAUGCUAACACACACAUGACCAGUGCCAGCUGCUGAGUCACCUCCAAAGGGCUCUUAGGAUAAGGAUGUGCUUCCUCUAUGGGGACACACAUUUGCUUUAUUCCAGUCUCCAAAGGCUACGCUCAUAAAAGGGACUAUGCAUUAAAGGAGGAAGAAUAGAUCAAGGAAUGGAGCAGAGAGUUCUAUGAAUGAAUUAUGAUUCUGUAUAUAAUCACAUCAAUAACGUCUCUUUGUGGAAGAGUCUGCAUUUCAACAGUGCAUUUCCCCAUCAGACACUUUAUUUCCUAAGAAAGGAAUAACCAUGGUGGCAGACGGAGCUGCAACAUAUCUUCAGUGUCACCUGGCCACACUGCUUCCCUCCAGGUCAGGCUUUGGAUGUUUGGUAAUGAGUGGCGAAGGUGCCAGUGAAAUGGGACCUCUUAGCGCUUGCUGUGCUCCUUCCCAGCUGUGUGCUCCCUCUGAGCUAUACCUCCUCACCAGCAUCCCACCACCGGUCUAUCCCUCCUCUCUAGCCUGGCCCAGUGCACACACACCCCUGCUCAGGCUGCUGCUGCUGCUGCAGGCACUUGCACUAGGAGUCAAUGUAGCAACCGUUGAGGCGGUACUUACUCCAGUACUCAAGACUAUUCUUUUCAUCUGUCCUGUUUGGCACUCGGUUGGCCAGAUUUUUCUAUUUGGAAGAUCCAGUUCCCACACUCGAAUUGUCCCACUACAAAGAAAAAAAUCACAAUCAAAUGGAUACCCUUUUAAGCACUGCUUCACAUCUUUUAGGGUAUUUCCACCCCACCCCACCCCACCUCACCCCCUCUUGAAGGAGAAGCUGACAGGAAGAGGGAGAAAUAUUUCUGAGGAUUUUUACUUUUCGAGCCCACUGUACAACUUGAGAAUUUCCCACUCAGCCUCAGAGCAACACUAAGAGGUAGGUUGUAUGCUCCCCGCCUCUGCAGGUGGGACGAUGCAGACAGAGCUUACACACAGCAGAACAGGACUCAUACCCCUGCUCUGUCACGCAUUGAAGUGUACACUCUCCCCACUGUACUGAGAGAAGAAGGUAUAAUCAAGUAGACAACCCAGGCGUGGUGCAUCCUUGACUCUCAGCAUGUAGGACACUGAGGCAGGCAGAUCUCUGAGUCAGCCUGGUCUACAUAGUAAGUUCCAGGACAGCAAGGGCUACAUAAAUGUGGCCCUGUCUCAAAGAUAAAUUAACAAAUUAGUCAUGCAAAUAAAUGUAGAACAAACCAGGGUUCUUAAUAUUCAGGGAAGUCCUCUUAUUAUUAAGUGGUUACAUAUAUUUACAAUAUACAGCAUGAGGUUUUAAUGCAUAAACACACUGUGGAAAGGUUAAAUUAAACUGCUAAGCAUGUGUGUCACCUUAUUUAUCUCUUCCUAGUAAGAACACUUGAAAUCCACUCCCAUUGGAUUUCCACUUUCAGUGUUAUUUAACAUAUGCUGUGUCCGAAUAUUGCUAUGGACUGUAGUCACCGUGGGGUAUACACACUGAGUGCCCAUCGAUCGACGAGUGGAUGAUGAGUGUGCAUAUAUACAAAGGAAAACUGUUGGCCCUUAAGAAAGGUGGACAUCUGGAGAAGACCAUGCUAGCCGGAAUGAGCCCAUCACAGAAAGACAAAUAUUGCCUGAUCUCACUCUUGUGGAAUCUAAAUGGAAUGUACCAGAGGCUUGGGUGAGAGAGGGCAAGUGGAAGAUGUUUGUUCAGGACACCGAAUCUCAGUUAGGAGAAAUUAGGUGGUGAUAUCUUUUUUUUUUUUUCUUUCAGAAGCAAGAUCUCAUGUAGCCCAGGCUGGCCUCAUAACUCACUGUGUAACUAAGGCUGGCCAUAAGACUCUUGCCUCUGCUUCCCAAAUGCUGGGAUUACAGACAUGCACCUUGCUUAAUGGAGGAUGUUUUAGUUUGGAGAAUUCCUGUCUCCAAGGAUAGAGACGUGAGAUUAAAUGAGUAAAAGUUUAAGUUAGU
rnacentral:lncRNA from 1 species